AAGAGAGUAUAUGUACUUUAGUUAACAAUAAGUUGGUAUUGGUCCAUGAGAUAUUCCUAUCAGAUGUCAAUCAUCAGUCCAACUUGAGUGCAAAUAUCACUUUAUUCACCGAUUCCAAUAAUUUACAUACAAUGCCACCCUCAAAGUGCGGUGACAUAGAAUAACUCCCAAAGUAGAGUGUAUUACCUGCAUGCUUGGAAGAGCCAAAUGGGACUGUUGAUACAAAAGGAGGCACAUGAAGUUAACGGUCAGGAAAACCAGCUGAGUGUAGAAGGGUUUGUGUUCGUUAGCGCGGAUUGCAAUUCUUAUUGCAGCCUGCAGAGUUAUGCGAGAAACAUACGGAGGGACGCGGUCGUUGAGCUCCGCCGCCCCACAUUGCAUGACACGUUAAACUCAACUAGAAUCGCCACCAUCAAUUUGAUAUCAACAGAACAAAAAUAGUCGGAAAGCCUACAGAAACUAUAGAUAGUUAAUGUGACAAUCACAUUAUUAAAAAUAAACUUGGAGCAAUGAUUUACUGAGGAAUUAUUUUUUUGGGAGAAUGCUUUUGCAGGGAGUUCGCCGCCCUUCCUGCCCAUACGGCACGCGCCUGCUAUGCAGCUAUAAGGCAUUCCAAUCUUAACUUAAGUCUUUAACUAUGAUGUUUCUGUAAUACACAGCCCUGCUCUUUUCUAAUUAUUAUAAUUUCUUCAUAGAUAGACGGUUGAUCUAGCCUGGUUCUACCAGACUCUCGUAGGCCUACUUCACUUCAUUUCAUUUCAUUUGUACAGAGAGUCAGGACCUAAUCAAUUGACAAACGUUAACUCACUUGAAGGCGGGUGUCUGUUGAAGUUUAAAAUGAUUGGAUCUGCCCAGUGCCACUCUGGAUAUGCCAUAACCAAUCGCUAUCGUUCGUUUGGAGGACUCUCGCGCCUUCCUUGUAUUCAAAAUCAGUGCCGGCGGGAGUCUCGGGGAGGGGGGGGGCAGGCGGGAUGGGGCAAUAUUUCCUGGUUGCAUUCACUUGCAGUCUGACCUUUGAAACUCGCUUUUGUAAAUGUCUUGUAAAAGCAAAAAAAAAAAAAAAAAAAUGAGUUUUGAGCUGCCAACUGGGGUGGCAGCUGGGGUGGCAAGGCUUUUUUUAGGGUGGCAGUUGGCACCCCAGUAGAUCCGCCCCUGCUCCAAGCCUGGGUUAGUUGUACCACGAAAGUCGAUCUCUUUUAGCGUCGAUGUAUCACCAUGGUGACUUAUGCUCGCAACCAAACCUGUGCCCUAUACCACGAAGCUCGCUGAACAUACCCAGGCUUUCUUGGGAAAACCUGGCUCGACAGAGCCGCAACUCGCAAUCAGAGUUAAAUGGUACCACGAAGCUCACUUUAGAUUCAAUUAGUUGAACCAGGUUUUCCGCUUUAGGUUCAGUGCGCGUUCACGUGAAAGGGGCGUUUUUUGCGUCAUUUUUCUCACCUUUACGAUAGAUCAAGCAGUCUAUAUGAGUAUAAGUGAAAAGAUUCUGCAUAUUGUCUGUAAAAUAACUAUGCCAAAUGCAGAAUUGUUCGCCAUUAAUCCAAAUAGAAUGAUGAUGAUUUAAAAAUCCAUAAGCAACGUCCAUCCUGCCUUAUUCUAUCAUUUAGGGAUUUCACUUUAAAUACACCCUAUUUAAGAAAUGUAUAGCAUGUUUUCGACCGCUGCGAGGUAGCGGCUGUAGCGUAGUGGAUUAGUAUAAGACCCGAACGCCAGCGACCGGGCUUCAAAUUUGCCGGUCUAUCAUCAUGCAUUUUACCCCCAUAGAUGUGGUGCCAGCACGGCCUUGAAAAUAUGGGUUCAAGUUCGAAAUAAGCACAAAAAUAUAAUUCCAUAAACUUUAGUGAAUAAGUAUUCCAUAUGCAUGAGAAUUAGGACUUUUUAAGCUUCACAUAAAUUCGCGUCACUUGGGAGUCGAACCCCCCGCGCAAAAAUUCAAGAUUGACGCGCUACCUCCACUCUAGCACUCUGUCACUGAGACACAAUGCGCAACAGUAGUCAUUGUCUACAUAAGGUCCAAAAGGACGAUCAAAUAACGAACACCCUCUGAUGAGAAUCUGUAUCUCUCAUGAAGAACCCCAAUUUCGUUGUUUGCACAAUGACAAUAAAGUCUGAAAUCUGAAUAUCGUCAGACAAUGCCAAGGGAUCGGUUCUGUCCCGUAAAACCCUUGUCUCCGGAGAAGUGCGCCGGGGUCCACGGGAACACCCACAAAUGGUGACGCCAUUGUCAGAGGAGGGGCUAGGAAGCUGCGCACGCCGAUUUAAGUAGCCGAUCUCCGGCUAGACUAAGGCCCAAUCUCAUUCCUUUGCUACAUAGAAAAUCUCAACCCUAGCCCUCGCUGUUGCGCGUUCACGCGCCGUGGAGUCAUGUCCCAAUACUGUUUAAAUAUAGCUUAAGGGGUAGGGGGGAGGGCUAACAUCCCCUCAAAAUUGAGAUUUUCGAUGGGCACCCUCAAAGCGAUUCAGUUCUGACUUGCUCCCACAAUACCUUGCGAGAAAACGGAAAAU
ensembl:lncRNA